GGUCCCGUGGUGUAGCGGUUAUCACGUCGCCCUGUCACUGCGAAGAUCGCGGGUUCGAUUCCCGUCGGGACCG
rnacentral:tRNA from 1 species